GGAUACUGUAAAUUCUGUUGGCAUAAUGAAAAUAUUGUAUAUAUACCGUAGUAUGCACUUUAAUACUGUAUGCAAGCAUCUUUACACAGGGGUUGUUUGUUAUUAAAUCAGUUAUUAUAUAAAUGGUAGAGACUGAGAUUCGACAUGAAACCGAGAUCUCUUGAAAACGAUUUGAACUGUAAUGAAUAAUUAUUUUAUAUAUAUAUAUAUAUAUAUAUAUAUAUAUAUAUAUAUACACACACAUACACACACACACACACACACACACAUACAUACAUACACAUAUUAGGCGGCACGGUGACUGACUGGUUAGAGCGUCCGCCUGACAGUUCUGAGGACUGAGGUUCAUCCCAGGCCCCGCCUGUGUGGAGUUUGCAUGUUCUCCCCGUGCCGGCGUGGGUUUUCUCCAAGCACUCCAGUUUCCUCCCACAUCCCAAAAACAUGCAUUGUAGGUUAAUUGAAGACUCCAGAUUGCCCGUAGGUGUGAAUGUGAGUGCGAAUGGGUGUUUGUUUGCAUGUGCCCUGCGAUUGGCUGGCAACCAGUUGAGGGUAUACGCCGCCUCCGGCCCGAUAAUAGCUGGGAUAGGCUCCAGCACGCCCGCGACCCUUGUGAGGAGAAGCGGCUCAGAAAAUGGAUGGAUGGAUAUACAUAUUAAAUGACUUGAAAGCCCUAAGUAAUGGGUUCCAACUGUCUUUACAGCAUUUUCUUUGUCAUAUCUUGUUGCUAGUUACUUGUGAUCAUAAUCUACUUUUUUGAUGAAACGUGCUUUUCAUCCUCUUAUUAAAUAAUUUGUAUAUGGGGCAUACAGUUAUCCCCCACUUAGAGGAUUUAUACCCUGGUGAAGGAGAAGAUUUUGUGACCUUGGUCACUGUGUACAGUAUAUAUGAAUAUUUAAAAAAAUUCUCAAUGAAUUAUGUUGAGUUGUUUUGUAUGUUGGGAAUAGUUGCAAUAAGAUGCAAUAAAUAUUCUUAACUUAAAUGUGUUAGUGUUUGUUUCAGAUGAGCCACAGUUGUGAUUACAGUUACUAUUGAUUUCCCUUAGAGUACAGAGAGUUUUUGCCCCCAGGUUUAAAUACAUGAACUUGCCAUGUCAACACAAAACCAAGGCAUGAUAAAUAUUUCAACCAGGAGUGUGCUCUCUAGUUUGAGUGACCCCAGUGAAAACAGUAGAACAUUCACAUGAUCACAUCGGCAGGCGGCCCCAGUGUUCACUGCUCAGUACAUGACUGGAUACUGGGGGUGUUUGUUUGGUUGGUCAUGAGUCAUAAACAGUGGCAGUCCAAGCUCGAAUCGCACCCUGCGUGAAACUCGCCUUUAGCGUCCCCUCAACCCCCCCAACCAACCACGUUUACACAUGCACGCACGCACACCCCGAUGAAAACUACUCUGAACAUUUUAUUUUCUAAAAUAUAAUACAAAAUUACAUAUUUAAUUCAGCAACAGCAAGAAAUAAGUAAAUUAAUAAAACAAACUGAUCAUUAAAACAAAUCUUGCAUUACAUGAUGAAAAAGAAUUAAGGGAACCUAACUGCAUUAAUUUUGGCUUUUGUUUCCCAGCGCGCUUGCUUUCUUUUAAACACCACAAGGGCGUGCAAAUAUAAUGAUUGACAUAUCGCACAAAAGAAAACCAUUUCACAAAGCAAUUUUAUUUUUAAAUAUUGCUGUGUUGAAAGCCAGAGCUUUAUUUCGGUAUAGUUUUGUUGAUACAACUUUUUAAUUGUUGAAGCAUUUUGUUUUAUCACAUUUUAGUUUAGUUUUGUUGACUGCAUAAACACUAAAUAAAAAAUAUAACACUAUUUUCAAAACAUUACACUCAAGCGCAAAAAUAUUGCCUCAGAUUUUUGGUGAUUCUCUAUGUUGACAUUGACUUUGGUUAUAUGGAGAGAAAUAAAUUGCAUUUUCAUCAGGGUGCAGCAAUGGUCGUCUACAGUAUUUGGUGAAUUUACGCAUUGUACUGUAUUUCUGCAGCUAAAGACUGGGCUUCAGAGUAAAGCUACCUCUGGGCCCUAGAGAGAAAGUUGGCCUCCUGCCUAACCUGGUAGUCAUGCAAACGACCAUUUGUUGGCAAAUCAUACCUAAUGCCAUACAGCCCACAGUGUUUUCAUUGUAUCAUGCAAACCACCAUUUCUUACACAAUCAAACCUAACGCCACAAAGACCACAAUGAAAAUUGUGUGCUAAAAAAAGACAAAAAACUGUCAAAACUCAAUACCACCUUGAUAGAAUACAGUCGUCAGCUCUGGGGUAACCCUUACAGGAUGGUGAAUGUGGUGUACACACAUGCUUCCACUAGAUGGUGCUAUAUUAAAGGAUCCAUAAAUACAGACUGCUGUCAAUCACUUACCACCAACAAGUACAAAUAAAAGUAACUGGGUUCAAAAAGGCUUACUGCUGGACAAUAGCUUGUUCAUACUGGAAUGGUCUUCUAUAUUUAGUUUCACUGUUCAUUGGAACAUCAGCAUUUUUGACCGGGUACACUGGUUUAACCUCUUAUUAGGAAACGCAAGGACAGAAGACAUUUGAGGAGGGUGGACAAAAGAUUACAGAGUCAAAGAGUCUUCUUGCAAAAUGACUCAUGGCGUCUCUCCACUGUUACUCCUGCUACUGCUGUUUUCUUUGUACGGAUCAAUUCAUGGAUGCCUGCAGGAUCCUGUCCAAGCCUACAGAUUCACUGGAGCCGCGUGUCGUCUCACAUACCCUGCAGCUGUAGUGUUGAAUGAGAAAACCACCAAAGUGAUAGAGGCAGCAUUUCAGCAUGCCAGAUAUCCAGGUGUUAAAGCAGAGAAUACAGUGCUCUUCAUUGGCAAAGUAUCAUAUGGCCUUGAAAAUUUGGAAAUUCACAACCUGACAAUUGGUCAGAGCUCCUUUGAGCUUCGUCCGGGUGAAGGCAUCUCCAUGGAGAUAAGCAAUGUAUCCGCAGUCUUCACAGGGACCAUACAUUAUGGAUAUGGCAGUUGGCUAGUCAAUAUUGCUCAAUCAAUUGAUUUUGAGAUUGAGUCACAGACUGACCUUGGAAUCAACCCCAAACUUUAUUGUGGUAAGGGGAAGGUAGCAGCAGACACAUCAUCUUGUUACUUGAACUUUGACAAGCUGCAUUUACACCUGCAUGGAGCGAGAGAACCAAACUGGCUCAAGAGGCUCUUCACUGACUUCAUCACGUUUACUGUCAAACUAGUCAUCAAGGGACAGAUUUGUAAGGAGAUCAACAAAGUGGCAAACAUAUUAGCCGACUUCAUACAGGAGAGAGCAGAGCAGUUCCUCAGUGACGGUGACAUCACAGUAGAUAUCGGUGUGACCGCUGCGCCCACCAUCACUGCUAACUACAUAGAAUCAUACCACAAGGGGCUCACCAACUAUAAUGACUCUUCUGCUGUCAUUAGUGAUUCAACUUUCAACCCCAGGCAGCUGACUGACAACAGGAUGCUCUAUUUUUGGAUCUCAGACCGCGUCUUAAACCCUUUGAUGACAGCUGCCCACCAAGAUGGUCGCUUCCGGCUCAACAUCACUGGAGCAGAGUUGAUUGAACUUUUCAAGACAAACGUCUCGACAACCAUGCCUGACUUUUUUAAAAAGUGCCUUUCAGAAACAAGUUAUUCCGAAUUACACGUGUGGAGUUCGUCUGUGCCCCGCAUGAACACUUCCACCUCUGGGACAACUGUCUGGGCUGAGGCCUCUGGCCAGCUGCGGUGUGAACGUCAAGAAACGCUCUUCUUUCAAACGUUCAUCACCACUACUGUCACAGCUUCUUAUGCCAACAAACACGUCUUACUGCACAGCAAACCUUUAGAGAUUGUUGUACUACAUGCUGAUUUAUACCAAAAUCCUCUGAAAGAUCAAGCGCAACUGGAUUUCAUACAAGAAACCGUGACGAAGAUAGGCCUCCCCAAGGUGUUGUCUGAUCAUCGCCUGCCACCGUGGGGGACCUAGGUUCAAAACCCCGACUGGACCACCGCCAACAUCCCCCGGACUCACGGCUGUGGUGUCCUUGAGCAAGACACUGAUACCCCAAAAAUGCUCCCCGGGCGCUUCAGCUGCCCCCUGCUCCAGUGUGUUCCACUAACAUGUGUCGUAGGAGGGGUCCCUCCCACAGCCAUCAUAGGCCAAUGUGACCAGCUUGUACCACCUGAUUGGCUGGUACAAGUGUCAGUCCAAAAGUCUCGAGGCAGUCGGUCAUGUUCAGGUGUUCAAUCAUUCAAUUACCAUGCAUGGAAGGAACUCAAAGACAACACCCAAAAUAAUGUAAACUAAACCAAACAGUCAAGCAUUGAAACAAACAUUUAAUACAUAACAAACAAAUUCCAUAAUUUCUCGUGUAUAAUGCGCAGCCAUGUAUAAGACGAACCCCCAAAGUGGACCUAAAAAUUCUGGAAAACCCUUCCACCCAUGUAUAAUGCAUUUUUACAAUCCAUGAUUUUGCUUCUACCCAUAUGAUCAAAACAUAAAGUAUUAUCUGUAUUUUGUUAGGUUUUUCUUUCAAAUAAUUAUUCUGAGGUUAAGCACUUUAUUUGAACACGUAAUAGUUUUUUUUAAAUUAAAGUGCUUUAAUUUUGAAAUGCACAUCCCUACUUUUAUUUAGUAAAAUAGAAUGUUUGAUUACCGAGGCAGAAUUUGUAAGAAUUUAUACAAUUCUUUAAAGAAAAGAUGAAGGACCAGGCGAAACAGAUUGAAUUUUAUUUUAAUGGGAUUAAAAUUAAACUGUCAAGCAUUUCAGAAAAGCAUUAUCAUUGAACAAAAGAUAACCAUAAAGAAAUUAAUGAUGGUUGUUGUUCAGUCGGCGGCACGGUGGCCGACUGGUUAGAGCGUCAGCCUCACAGUUCUGAGGACCCGGAUUCAAUCCCCGGUCCCGCCUGUGUGGAGUUUGCAUGUUCUCCCCGUUAAAAAACAAAACAAUAUUUCACAAAUUCUGCCAGGGAAUGUAAACUUAUAGGCACAACUGUACAUAUAUGCAGUCAUACGUACACCUCUGUCAUAUUGGAAUGAAAGUGUAGGCUACACCUUUUUCAUAACCACUAGAUGGCGUUGGCAUUUUGGAAUGAAAGUGCACACCUUUUUCAUAACCACUCGGUGGCGGCAUACAUUUAUAAAAUGUGAACGUGUUUUCCCGUUUGCCCCUAUACCUAUGUAUAAUGCGCACUAUUGACUUUUGACAAUUUCUUAGGGGGGGGGGGGGAAAUACGCAUUAUACACGAGAAAUUACAGUAGUCAAAACACAACUGAACCACUCAACUGAUAAAUCACAGCACAACAAUUACAUCUGAGUUGAAUGGACAGUGGUCCUCUUCUAUG